UGGGUAUAGGGGCGAAAGACUAAUCGAACCAUCUAGUAGCUGGUUCCAUCCGAAGUUUCCCUCAGGAUAGCUGGCGCCGAUGUGUCCCGCCCGUUCGCGGGCGUAAGGACGCCGGUGGGACUCCGCGCUGUACGGCGCGGUAACAACACGCUCGUAACACGGAGGAUGUCUCAUACGGUAAAGCGAAUGAUUAGAGGACAUUGGGGCCGAAACGACCUCAACCUAUUCUCAAACUAUAAAUGGGUGAGAUCGCCGGCUUUACCUGGUACACCGCGUGAACCGCGUGCGAAGCCGGCGACGGAACCCUAGGCGCUUAGUGGGCCAUUUUUGGUAAGCAGAACUGGCGCUGCGGGAUGAACCGAACGCCGAGUUAAGGCGCCGAAAUCGACGCGUAUUCAGAGACCAUGAAAGGCGUUGGUUGCUGAUGACAGCAGGACGGUGGCCAUGGAAGUCGGAAUCCGCUAAGGAGUGUGUAACAACUCACCUGCCGAAGCAACUAGCUCUGAAAAUGGAUGGCGCUGGAGCGUCGUGCCUAUACUCGGCCGUCGGCGGCACAGUGGGGCCGGCCUCGGUCGGCCCCGGCAAGCCCCGACGAGUAGGAUGGCGCGGCGGUGUGCGUCGAAGGGCAGGUCGCGAGACCGCCUGGAGCCGCCGUCGGUGCAGAUCUUGGUGGUAGUAGCAAAUACUCGAGAGGGGCCCUCGGGGGCUGCCGUGGAGAAGGGUUUCUUGUGAACAGCCGUUGUCCAAGAGUCAGUCGAUCCUAAGCCCGGGGAGAGAUCCUCGUACCACGGGCGAAGGCGUUUUCGAAUCGCCCAUGGGGCGAGAGGGAAUCCGGUCCGUAUUCCGGAACCCGACGCGGAACCGCUCCCUAGUGUUCGGGGCUCUUUUGUCUCGUCCGGGUAACCGGAAUGAACUCGAAGAAGCCGCCGGGGUGUCCGGGAAGAGUUCUCUUUUCUCUGUGAGCGUUGUACGUCCCUGGAAUCCUCUAGCCGGGCGAUAGGGACGCGAGCGCGAAGAGCACCGCUCGUUGCGGCGGUGUCCGUGACACCCACGCGGACCUUGAAAAUUCGAGAGAGGGCCACGCGGAGUCUUCGCGUCGGUUCGUACCGAUAUCCGCAGCAGGUCUCCGAGGUGAGCAGCCUCUAGCCGCAUAGAAUAAUGUAGGUAAGGGAAGUCGGCAAAACCGAUCCGUAACUUCGGGAUAAGGAUUGGCUCUGAGGAGCGUGGCGGAUCGGGUUCGGGUCGUCGUAGAAGCGUAGGCGGUGCUGGCGACACCCCGGCCGUCGCCCGUGCGGCCGGUCUUCGGACCGGCAGCCUCGAGGCGGUCGCGGGCCCGUCGCCGUCCGCCGACCGUGGAACCACCGAGCUUCGGUCGCUGGUCGCGUCGCGGCCGGCCCACCGCUACGGCGUCGGUUCGCCGUCGCCGUAGCGGUACGGCCGCCGCGCCGCGGUCGCGUAGCCGGAUCGACCGCCAUGUAACGGUCAACUCAGAACUGGCACGGACCAGGGGAAUCCGACUGUCUAAUUAAAACAAAGCAUCGCGAUGGCCCGGGACGGGUGUUGACGCGAUGUGAUUUCUGCCCAGUGCUCUGAAUGUCAACGUGAAGAAAUUCAAGCAAGCGCGGGUAAACGGCAGGAGUAACUAUGACUCUUUUAAGGUAGCCAAAUGCCUCGUCAUCUAAUUAGUGACGCGCAUGAAUGGAUUAACGAGAUUCUCACUGUCCCUAUCUACUAUCUAGCGAAACCACAGCCAAGGGAACGGG
rnacentral:rRNA from 1 species